rnacentral:rRNA from 1 species
CUUAAAUUGAAGAGUUUGAUCAUGGCUCAGAUUGAACGCUGGCGGCAGGCCUAACACAUGCAAGUCGAGCGGAAACGAGUUAUCUGAACCUUCGGGGAACGAUAACGGCGUCGAGCGGCGGACGGGUGAGUAAUGCCUAGGAAAUUGCCCUGAUGUGGGGGAUAACCAUUGGAAACGAUGGGUA